rnacentral:rRNA from 1 species
GUAGAGGUGACAGACCUAACGAGCUUAGUGAUAGCUGGUUACUUAAGAAAAGGAUCUUAGUCCUCCCCAAAUUUUUUACAAUAUUUAUAAAUAAAAACUAAAAUUUGGAGUUAUUCAAAUAAGGUACAGCCUAUUUGAACCAGGAUACAACCUCCUCAAACGGGUAAUUAAAUCCAUAUACAGCAAAGUAGGCCUAAAAGCAGCCAUCUUCAAAAAGCGUCAAAGCUUAUCUUCAAAUUUUCAUAAUCCCCCUAAUUUUUAAAACCCCUUAAUCUUUAUUAAGUAACUCUAUAAAAUUAUAGUAUUUAUUAUGUUAAAACUAGUAACGAGAAUCAGAACUUCUCUUUAAUGUAAGUGUAAAUCAGAAUGGACAAACCACUGAUUUUUAACACUUGAAACCAAAGUAACAACCCACCAAGAAAAUCUUACCUCAAAUAGUGUUAACCUGACACAAGAACAUUCUCAGACAGAUUGAAAGGAAAAGAAGGAACUCGGCAAACAUUAACCCCGCCUGUUUACCAAAAACAUCGCCUCUUGAUAAACAUAUAAGAGGUCCAGCCUGCCCAGUGACUCUGUUCAACGGCCGCGGUAUCCUAACCGUGCGAAGGUAGCGUAAUCACUUGUUCUUUAAAUGAGGACUAGUAUGAAUGGCAUCACGAGGGUUAUACUGUCUCCUUUCCCCAAUCAGUGAAACUAAUCUCCUCGUGAAGAAGCGAGGAUAAAUAUAUAAGACGAGAAGACCCUAUGGAGCUUAAAACUUUCAGCAAUUAUCUUUUCUAUAACAACCUUAAGGUUAUUACAUCAACUCUAAUAAUAUGCCUGUCAGUUUUCGGUUGGGGUGACCGCGGAGUAAAACUCACCCUCCGCAAUGAAUAUUAACAAUUAAGCAAAAAACUACAAUUUUAUGCAUCAAAAAAUUGACAGUAUUGACCCAACACUUUGAUCAACGAACCAAGUUACCCUAGGGAUAACAGCGCAAUCCAUCUCAAGAGCUCAUAUCGACAGAUGGGUUUACGACCUCGAUGUUGGAUCAGG